rnacentral:rRNA from 1 species
GUGCCAGCCGCCGCGGUAAUACGGAGGGUGCAAGCGUUGUCCGGAAUCAUUGGGUGUAAAGGGUGCGUAGGCGGGAGCCUAAGUCUGUGGUGAAAUCUUGCCGCUUAACGGUAAAAUUGCCAUGGAUACUGGGUUUCUUGAGUACAGAAGAGGUCGGUGGAAUUCGUAGUGUAGCGGUGAAAUGCAUAGAUAUUACGAAGAACACCAGUGGCGAAGGCGGCCGGCUGGACUGUAACUGACGCUGAGGCACGAAAGCGUGGGGAGCGAACAGGAUUAGAAACCCGAGUAGUCC